AUUGAACGCUGGCGGCAUGCCUUACACAUGCAAGUCGAACGGCAGCACGGGAGCAAUCCUGGUGGCGAGUGGCGAACGGGUGAGUAAUAUAUCGGAACGUGCCCAGUAGUGGGGGAUAACUGCUCGAAAGAGCAGCUAAUACCGCAUACGACCUGAGGGUGAAAGGGGGGGAUCGCAAGACCUCUCGCUAUUGGAGCGGCCGAUAUCAGAUUAGCUAGUUGGUGGGGUAAAGGCCUACCAAGGCAACGAUCUGUAGUUGGUCUGAGAGGACGACCAGCCACACUGGGACUGCGACACGGCCCAGACUCCUACGGGAGGCAGCAGUGGGGAAUUUUGGACAAUGGGCGCAAGCCUGAUCCAGCAAUGCCGCGUGCAGGAAGAAGGCCUUCGGGUUGUAAACUGCUUUUGUCAGGGAAGAAAUCCUCUAGGUUAAUACCCUUGGGGGGAUGACGGUACCUGAAGAAUAAGCACCGGCUAACUACGUGCCAGCAGCCGCGGUAACAC
rnacentral:rRNA from 1 species